CGUGUGCCUUGUUCCUCUGCUCUCUGUUUCUCUCCGUUGCAAGCAGGCUGAAAGAUUGGUCUGAUUUAUUUUCAUCUCUGCUGCCAGGGGCCCUAGGGCAAUGCCAGCGAUCUACAACGUGGCGACAUGGUGAGCGAUUGUGGAGUAGCCUUGAAUGGUUGGUGUGACUUGCUUUGACCUUUGCUGCUGGGUGCCUUGGCGGAGUGCUGGCGAGCUAUUGAGUCUCAUCAUGAAUGCAGUGACUUAUGAGGACGUGCAUGUGAACUUCACUCAAGAGGAGUGGGCUCUGCUGGAUCCUUCUCAGAAGAAGCUCUACAAAGAUGUCAUGCUGGAGACCUACAGGAACCUCAAUGCUAUAGGAUUUAAUUGGGACGACAAAAAUAUUCAAGAACAUUGUCCAAGUUCUAGAAGACACAGAAGGUAUCCUUGAAGAUGAAAACCAACCCAUAAUGAAGGGGUAACAGCAUGAAUAUAAGCAAAGUGAUAAAAAUCUUAAGAUCUGAUUCCUCUUUAUAUUUAGACAAAUAGUACCAUUAAAUCAUACAGGUGAAAGUAUUCAUCAGUUUGAUAAAGCUUUCACAUGUGCCAAUUUUCUUGUCAGGCAUGAAAGAAGUCCGAGUGCAGAGAAAGCGUCUGAAUAUACUCAAUGUGAUAAAGUCUUUUUUUUAUGCUCACAGUCAUGCUCAAAGGCAUGAAAGGAUUCAUACAGAAAUGAACCCCCUUGGAAUUAUUCAAUUUGUUGAAGCCUUUGCUCAACAUCGUCUCCAACUUCGUAAAAGAGCACAAACUGGAAAGAAACUCUAUGAAUGGAAGCAAUGUGGUAAAGCCUUUGAAGAUCACAGUCAUCUUAAAAGCUAUGAAGGAAUUCAUACGGGAGAGAAACCUUAUGAAUGUCAUCAGUGUGAAAAAGCCUUUUCAAGUCACAGUAAUCUCCUACAACCUAAAGGAACACAUACUGGAGAGAAAUGCUAUGAAUGUGAUCUGUGUGGUAAAGCCUUUUCACAACAUAGUCGGCUUAAAAGGCAUGGAAGAAUUCAUACUGGAGAGAAACCCUACAGAUGUAAUAACUGUGAGAAAGCCUUUUCACAACAUAUUCACCUCCAGUCACAUAGAAGAAUUCCUACUGGAGAGAAACCCUACAAAUGUAAUAAAUGUGAGAAAGCCUUUUUACAACACUAUAACCUCCAAAGACAUAAAAGAAUACAUAUUGGAAAGAAACCCAAUGAAUGUGGUCUAUGUGUGAAAGCCUGUAUAAGUCACAGGUAUCUUCAAAAGCAUAAAUAAAUAUUCAUACUUGUGAUGGUUUGUAUAUCCUUGGACCAGGGAGUGGCACCAUUUGAAGGUUUAGCCUUGUUGGAAUAGGUGUGACCUGGUUGGAAUGGGUGUGUCACUCUGGGUGUGGGUAUAAGAUCCUCA
rnacentral:lncRNA from 1 species